rnacentral:tRNA from 1 species
ACCUGACUGGCUCAGUUGGUGGAGUGUGUGACUCUUGAUCUCGGGGUUGUGGGUUCAAGUCCCACAUUGGGCU